GCUGGGCAUGGUGGCUCUUGCCUGUAAUCCCAGCACUUUGGGAGGCCGAGGCGGGUGGAUCACCUGAGGUCAGGAGUUUGAGACCAGCCUGGCCAACAUGGUGAGACCCUGUCUCUA
rnacentral:SRP_RNA from 1 species